UACGUAGGGACCGAGCGUUGUCCGGAUUCAUUGGGCGUAAAGAGCUCGUAGGCGGCCACUCAAGUCGAAUGUGAAACCUCGAGGCUUAACCUCGAGCCUGCAUUCGAUACUGGGCGGCUAGAGUCUGGUAGGGGGAUCUGGAAUUCCUGGUGUAGCGGUGGAAUGCGCAGAUAUCAGGAGGAACACCGGUGGCGAAGGCGGGAUCCUGGGCCAGUACUGACGCUGAGACGCGAAAGCGUGGGGAGCAAACAGG
rnacentral:rRNA from 1 species